UACAAAGGGUUCACUUUGGAAUCAGAUACACGGGAUGAACCCAUAUGGCUAUAUCUCUGUCUGAUUUAUCAUUCAGCAUCCAGUCUAUAAAUCCUACCAAGAACAAUGGCCGUGUUUGCAGUUGAAGCCAUCUGAUUAUGUGGCGGCAAGGAAACAGGCAAAAUUGGGGAGGAUAAGGAGGCAGGGGGAGAAAGGGAGAGUAAUGAAUGCCUGAGAGGACUGGUUGGCUCAAAGGGAAGAUGCAAAAGUUUAGUUGUCAAUGGGGACCCAACAGAUGAAGGAGCUAAAGAUUUUCAGCAACCUCGACAACACAAAGCUUUCCCAGUCACGGGGAAUCGAAGUGCACUUUCCGUUGAGCUUGGUGGGCUCCUCAACCAUUAUUUCACUUAUUUAAGUUGGUCCUCGAUCGGAUUAUGAUGUGAGGCAUGUUUCCUCUCUGUUCUUCGAUUAUAGUCUUUGAAUUGAUUUGAACCCUAACCAACCAUUGUUGUUAGCCUGUAAUCUGCGGGUAUGUUUAUGGUGUGAUGACUCAUGACAUUUCUUCCCUUGACAAUGUCUGUGGUAGCUUUUCUUGUUGAUGAACAACCUAAUUUGGGUGCUGCAAAAGGAUAUGUUCUUUCUCUGGUUGGCCCAACUUUUCUUGAAAGCUCAAAACAGAAUAUGAUUCAGUUGUGGGAUGCUG